GACGAACGCUGGCGGCGUGCUUAACACAUGCAAGUCGAACGGAAAGGCCCAGCUUUUGUGGGGUGCUCGAGUGGCGAACGGGUGAGUAACACGUGGGUAACCUGCCCUUGACUUUGGGAUAACUUCAGGAAACUGGGGCUAAUACCGGAUAGGAGCUCCUGCUGCAUGGUGGGGGGUGGAAAGUUUCGGCGGUUGGGGAUGGACUCGCGGCUUAUCAGCUUGUUGGUGGGGUAGUGGCUUACCAAGGCUUUGACGGGUAGCCGGCCUGAGAGGGUGACCGGCCACAUUGGGACUGAGAUACGGCCCAGACUCCUACGGGAGGCAGCAGUGGGGAAUAUUGCACAAUGGGCGGAAGCCUGAUGCAGCAACGCCGCGUGCGGGAUGACGGCCUUCGGUUUGUAAACCGCUUUCGCCUGUGACGAAGCGUGAGUGACGGUAAUGGGUAAAGAAGCACCGGCUAACUACGUG
rnacentral:rRNA from 1 species